AUUAAUUAUUAGCAUCGAGUAAUAAUUGCAUGUUUGAAUAUAUUUGACGUGUAUUUGUAUUUACGUUACAUUAAUUAGUCUAGAUUAAUUAAAAGUAAAAUAUUUAGCCAAAACCGCGGUAGUGAAGUUUUAAUUAGGGUUCUUUUUUUUUUGUUUUAAUAAUAAAUCUUAAUCUAUUUAUGUGUGUUUUCACGUGCAACUUCGAAAUGAGAAAAAGCCAUUUAUUCGAAAAAAUGUUUUUACAAUAAUUUCCGACGACCCGAGUAGGGCGAGUAAAUAAUAAUAGUAUGACCAUAGGCAAUACCGUUGUAACACAAAUGUAUGCAAACAUGCGCACGCAAACCUUAUAACCUUUGGACGGCGACGAGCAGCCUCGAAAAAUUGAAAAAACAAACCGUUCAUCGAUCGUCGCUAACUUCAUAGACUUCGUAUAAUCCAAUAAACCGUCUCUACCUUCAAUAAAACAGUAAAGACCUCUAAAUCACACUGUCUACCAGCUUCCGCUGAUAAUUUUUUUCUGGGGACUUUGUUAUUAGUUGUUAUUGUUGUUUAUAUAAUUAUUAUGAUUUUUUUUUUACUUUUAUAAUGUUGUUUUCUAGUUUUACUGAAAAUCGUGUCAACGAGAAACAUUCUACUAAUUAUUAUUAUCACGUAUAAAUGCUUUCCCGAUGCAUUAAUUAAGGCGAUAUUUUUUUAUUCCCGCCCUUUCCCUAUUAGUUAUUACAUAUUUUACAUUCCUUAAUUCCCGAACGAACCUUUGAUCAAAACACCCGUAAGUCAAUUCACCGCAUACCUUGUUGCUAUAUCGAACCGAAUUUUCUGCCGUUGCUGAGAUCUCUUGACAAACCUAAUCCGCUCUUACAGGCCGUGUCCUUCAGUCACUCGAACAACUUUAAACAGUUAAUUUUUAGGUGGUAUCAUUUAUAUGGAAAGGCC